rnacentral:rRNA from 1 species
UACGUAGGUGACCAGCGUUGUCCGGAUUUACUGGGCGUAAAGAGCGCGCAGGCGGUCGUUCAAGUCGAGUGUGAAAGCCCCCGGCUCAACUGGGGAGGGUCAUUCGAUACUGAUCGACUCGAAGGCAGGAGAGGGAAGCGGAAUUCCCGGUGUAGUGGUGAAAUGCGUAGAUAUCGGGAGGAACACCAGUAGCGAAGGCGGCUUCCUGGCCUGUUCUUGACGCUGAGGCGCGACAGCUAAGGGAGCAAACGGG